GCCGAUUUGGUCCUAGUCCCAAUCUUAACUACUUUCGAGGUGCCACAUGCAAGCCCAUUAACGAACCAGUGAAGUAAAAUCUUGUUCCCUAAAACCUAGAAAGAAAAGAAGGAAAGAGAAAACCAGUAUCAGGCACUAAACAGAUGAGCCCACGACACUAAGCAAUACGCCACAACUGCAGUGCUAAAUAUUAGACAAUCAGAAAAAUCCGGAUCUAGCAAAAAAAGUAUGAAGGAGGUAAAAUACGUGCCAGCCACCGCGGUUAUACGUAAUUCCUACAGUUAAAUAGCACGGUGAAAAGGGUGGUUAGAAGAGAAAUUAAUUGGUUGUAGCUUUGGGCUAGUGGUAAAAAACUAAUCCCACAAGAAACCUUUACCCCCAAAUUAAACAUUUGAAGCCACGAAAACUAAGACCUAAACCAGGAUUAGAUACCCUGUUAUACUUAGAAGUGAACAACCUUAAGCACCAGAGAACUACGAACCUAAAGUUUAAAACUCAAAGGACUUGGCGGUUUUCCAAACCUCCCUGGAGGAGCUUGCCAUUGAAUCGAUAACCCACGAAACACCUCACCAACUUUUGUAACAACAGCUUGUAUACCAUCGUCGUAAGUCUACUUCUUGAGAAAGUUGACUUUAAGGGAGAGCCCUAGACGUCAGAUCAAGGUGCAGCCUAUAGGUUGGGAAUAGGUGAGCUACAAUGUUUGAACAAACCAGUGAAAGAAGGGAUGAAAUACCCCUCGGAAAUUGGAUUCAGCAGUAAGCCCCAUUAAGAAAAUGGGGCUGAAAAGAGCUCUGGAAUGCGUACACAUCGCCCGUCACUCUCGCCUAGUUAAGAUUACGCAAGGGGAGAAAAGUCGUAACACAAUAGGCACACCGGAAGGUGUGCCUGGAAAAUGCCCCUAUAGUUG
rnacentral:ncRNA from 1 species